rnacentral:rRNA from 1 species
GACUACUCGGGUAUCUAAGCCUGUUUGCUACCCACGCUUUCGCACCUCAGCGUCAGGGUCAGUCCAGACAGUCGCCUUCGCCACUGGUAUUCCUCCUGAUUUCUACGCAUUUCACCGCUACACCAGGAAUUCUACUGCCCUCUCCUGCCCUCAAGAACUCCAGUUUCAAAUGCAACCCCGGGGUUGAGCCCCGGUCUUUCACAUCUGACUUAAAGUCCCGCCUACGUGCUCUUUACGCCCAGUAAUUCCGGACAACGCUCGCCCCCUACGUCUUACCGCGGCUGCUGGCACGUAGUUAGCCGGGGCUUCCUCUUAGGGUACCGUCAUUCGAGAGACGUAUUAUUCCUCUCGACAUUCGUCCCCUAAAACAGAGCUUUACGACCCUAAGGCCUUCUUCGCUCACGCGGCGUCGCUGCGUCAGGGUUUCCCCCAUUGCGCAAUAUUCCCCACUGCAGCCUCCCGUAGG